rnacentral:tRNA from 1 species
GGACAGGUGGCCGAGUGGACGAAGGCGCUUGACUCGAAAUCAAGUGUGCGCUUUGCGUACCGUGGGUUCGAAUCCCACCCUGUCCG